CCUACGGGCGGCUGCAGUGGGGAAUAUUGCGCAAUGGGCGAAAGCCUGACGCAGCAACGCCGCGUGCGGGAUGACGGCCUUCGGGUUGUAAACCGCUUUCAGCAGGGACGAAGCAACACGUGACGGUACCUGCAGAAGAAGCACCGGCUAACUACGUGCCAGCAGCCGCGGUGAUACGUAGGGUGCGAGCGUUGUCCGGAAUUAUUGGGCGUAAAGAGCUUGUAGGCGGUCUGUUGCGUCGGAAGUGAAAACUCAGGGCUUAACCCUGAGCCUGCUUUCGAUACGGGCAGACUUGAGGAAGGUAGGGGAGAACGGAAUUCCUGGUGGAGCGGUGGAAUGCGCAGAUAUCAGGAGGAACACCAGUGGCGAAGGCGGUUCUCUGGACCUUUCCUGACGCUGAGAAGCGAAAGCGUGGGGAGCAAACAGGCUUAGAUACCCCGGUAGUC
rnacentral:rRNA from 1 species